CGUUUGCUUUCAUUUUCGGUUUUACUACUUCCGGGUACAACAACAUGUGGAAUAUAUAAAGUCGUAACAGAGAAUCGGCGCUAAUUUGUAAUUUGGUGUAUUGUUAAGCGAUCGGCUGCAUACAUGAGACGGGGAAAACCCUGCCAUGUAGUUUAUUUAGGUUCCUAGUCGAUGCUACAGUAAGGAAGCGGUGGAUACAAAGAUGUAGACACAAAGUUACGAAACCUGCUGAAGCAGAAGCAUCUGCUUCAAAUGUACAUGUAGGAACCGAAAUUGAUACUGCUACCAAUAUAUCUGUACCAGACAACAAUGAAGUGCAUCUACAUGAUCACGAGUAUUAACAGCACCAAACCCUCAACAUUUAAAAAGCUUCCCUUGAAGACUAUGAUGUUGUAAACUUGCAGUGAGAAAUAUACCUGCUUAAUUAAAGGAAACCAUCCAUGACAAUUGGGAACAUCAUAAUUGAAAGACCCUGGAAAGGGAUCAUGAACACUGUUGGGAGUGUCCAUUCAACUGAAAUAUAAAAGUAAGAAGAAUUGAAGAUUGCAAUGGAUGCAACAGAAGUGACCUAAUAUGACCAAAUUGAUAUGAAUAGCCAGUUUUUCGCUUGCAGUAAUGACAAGAGUCGCCACAAAGAAAAGACCUUAAUGUGUAUUACACCUAAUGCAGCUUAUUUCCAAUCUGUAUGCUGGAUACAAAUCUAAUUUGGCAAUUGUGAACCAUUGUGACAUUUUAGAGAAGUUGCAAGUUGGUGAUAUAUUCCUGGCGGACAAAGGAUUUUGUUUUUUUGACAAACUUCCAAAUGACAUGACACUUAAUAUCCCAUUCUUUCUUACAAAUAAAUCCCACUUCUCAAAAGAGGAUGCACAACUUUGCUAUAAAAUUUCCAGAUGCAGAAUCCAUGUUGGAUGGGAAAAUGAGAGAUCUUUUUUUUUUUAAAUUCCUUAGCCAUUAUAGAUAUUGAUCUGACAAAAUAUUUCAGAUUUGUGUGGAUCAUGUGAAUUUGCAGGUUCCCCUUUUGAAGGAGAUUGCAGAUAAAUCCUACAAACUUAUUAGAUUAAUUGCAUGUAUAUAUAUAUACCUUAAAUCUGCACAUACCUGCCACAUUGAAUUUUUAAAGUUAAAAGUAAUGAAUACCAUAUAUGCAAUAUAACUUUACUACAUAUUUAUUUAAAUAUAAAGCCUUUUAUAUUCAUAUGAAUAUAAAGCCCUUUGGAACGUCUCCAUCAGAAUGAAAUAUUCUCGAGAGGAAUGUUAAACAAUAUACAAUCAAACAUAAAGCCUUUUGUUCUCAUUCUGAAGGUUUUCAAAUCUGCAUUAUUAAAAAAGAAGUAAAAUCCAUUGUUUGAGUAAAUGCAUGUAAUUGGAUGAUUUUUGUAAAGCUGGACACUGUGUCUAUACAUACAUGUAUUUUGGUUCAUCUAAAAUAAGAAAAACGCUUGUCUAUAAUGUUUAUUCAAUAAAUAUACAUGUAAUUACAUAACUUUGAUAGAUGCACCACUGAUAUCAUAAUAAAGUAUAUGUACAUGUG